AGUGAGAGAGAUAAGUAAAAUAUUUUUCGAAUUAAUUUAUUUGCGAAUGUGUUGAAUAAUUUAAAAGUAAUUUGUAAAAUAUUUUUUUAAAGGUAAUAUAAACUAUGCUAUAUACAUUUAGGGGUGAAAAAACCGGUUAAUUCAACCCGUUUAAGCCCAACCCUAUAUUGGCCCACCAAAAAUGGGUUUAGCCGGAUUGGGUGUUUCAAUUAAUAACGAAUUGAAAGUCUGACCCGCUGCUAAGCAGUUGAACUGGCGAGCUUUUUUUUUUUUUUUUUUUUUGUCCGGGCUAUUUCAGAUCUUGGUCGAGCUGUAUUGGAUUUUUGCUGAGCUAUAUCAUACCUCGAUUGAGUUAUAUCCAAUCUUGGUUAAGUUGUAUUAGACUUUACAUAUCGGACUCCGUCCAUCCUGUUGAGUUGUGUUAAUAUGAAGUAUCGCAAUGCAAGUUCUAAUUUUUUUUAAUAAAGUUCGUUGGCGGGCUUUCCUGAUCCACGAGACUGGCCUAUCAGACAUGGUGGGUCGGGUUUUGGACUCUUAAAUUCUCGGUUUAAACCCUUUAAUCGUCCUUAUUUUUGGGACGCUUUCCCAAUUU
rnacentral:lncRNA from 1 species